AUUAUUCAGUUAACUGGCAUGGAUCCACUCCUCGUAAGCAUCAUUAAGAAAAAUGAUUUUGGGCAACUGGCCUCAAAGUUUCUGUCUCGCUACCAAACAUUAGUCAGUAAAGUGGGGGGGAUCCUCUCUCAGAUUAUUCAGUUAACUGGCAUGGAUCCACUCCUCGUAAACAUCAUUAAGAAAAAUGAUUUUGGGCAACUGACCUCAGAGUUACCGUCUUUCUACAAAACAUUAGUCAGUGAAGUUGGGGGGAUCCUCCCUCAGGAAAGCCUUAAACGUAUUCAAACAGACUUUGAGAAGGGGCAGCCAAUAGAGGCGGCUGAUGAAAUUCAGAGAGCACUUCAGAGCGCUGAGAAUGCUACCCUGAAUGUGGCUGUGAUCGGGCAAUCUGGUUCUGGCAAGUCCAGUUUCAUCAAUGUCUUGCGAGGAAUUGGUCAUGAACAGGCUGGAUCUGCUUCUGUUGGAGUUGUGCCAACCACCACAAAGAAAACUCCCUAUCCACAUCCGAAGCAUCCCAACAUGACCUUCUGGGACCUGCCUGGAACUGGGACCCCCGAAUCCAAUCCAGACCCUUAUCAAGAAGUAGUGGGAGAUGAUAACUAUGACUUUUUCAUCAUUAUUUCUUCCUCACGGUUUAGCGCAAAUGAUGCUUUCCUGGCCCAGACGAUUCAGGAGACGGAAAAAAAAUUCUACUUUGUUAGAACCAAGGUGGAUAGUGCUUUAUAUAAUGAAAGGAAAAGCAAACUCAGACCUUUCAAAAAGGAGACAGUCCUUCAGCAGAUCCGAGACAACUGCCUGAUCAAACUCAGCAAAAUUGUAUCUGAGCCGACUGUCUUCCUGGUGUCCAACUUUAAGCCAAAGAAGUUUGAUUUCCCAAAACUGCAGGAGACACUGCUGAAGGAUCUCCCUGCUGAAAAGCGCUACAUCGCUCUCCUCUUGUGCCCAAAUUUGUCUGAGUCUUUGAUUGAGAUGAAGAGAGCUAUGAUCAAGGAGAAGGUUUGGCUGAAAGCCGUCAGGGCAGCCAUUUUGGCCUUCAUCCCCUUGACGCCUUUCUGCUGUGGCUUUAAUUUGUCUGAACAGAAGAGUCAGUUGAAACGUUAUCAGAGCGAUUUUGGUUUGGAUGAGGAGUCGGUCAGUCACAUUGCCCAGAACCUGGGCAUAUCUGAGCAAGAGAUCUACAGCCUCAUGAAGUCUGCAGAUUUCAACUCACUUGUGAAGGAUGACAGUAUAAUACCAAUGUCAAGAAGUGUGCUGAGUUCAUUUGCUCAGUUACUGGACUCCCCCAGUCUUCUAUUUUCCAGUUUUACAAAGUCUACUUUCUACAUCUGA
rnacentral:lncRNA from 1 species